UACGUAGGGUGCGAGCGUUGUCCGGAAUUAUUGGGCGUAAAGGGCUCGUAGGCGGUUUGUCGCGUCGGGAGUGAAAACCUUGGGCUUAACUCAGGGCUUGCUUUCGAUACGGGCAGACUAGAGGUAUGCAGGGGAGAACGGAAUUCCUGGUGUAGCGGUGAAAUGCGCAGAUAUCAGGAGGAACACCGGUGGCGAAGGCGGCUCGCUGGGCAGUGGCUGACGCUGAGGCGCGACAGCGUGGGGAGCAAACAGG
rnacentral:rRNA from 1 species